rnacentral:rRNA from 1 species
UGCCAGCAGCCGCGGUAAUACGGGGGGCGCAAGCGUUAUUCGGAAUUAUUGGGCGUAAAGGGCGCGCAGGCGGUCUUGUCCGUCAGGUGUGAAAGCUCGGGGCUCAACCCCGGAAGUGCACUUGAAGCAGCAAGACUUGAAUACGGUAGAGGAGAGAGGAAUUCCUGGUGUAGAGGUGAAAUUCGUAGAUAUCAGGAGGAACACCAGUGGCGAAGGCAUCUCUCUGGACCGAUACUGACGCUGAGGCGCGAAGGCGUGGGUAGCAAACAGGAUUAGAUA